GUCAGAGGGUGCAAACGUUGUUCGGAAUUACUGGGCGUAAAGCGCGUGUAGGCGGUUAUGCAAGUCGGGGGUGAAAGCCCCGGGCUCAACCCGGGAAGUGCAUUCGAUACUGCGUAGCUAGAGUACUGGAGAGGAUGGUGGAACUCUCGGUGUAGAGGUGAAAUUCGUAGAUAUCGAGAAGAACACCGGUGGCGAAGGCGGCCAUCUGGACAGAUACUGACGCUGAGACGCGAAAGCGUGGGGAGCAAACAGG
rnacentral:rRNA from 1 species